AAACAACUCUCAGCAACGGAUAUCUUGGCUCUUGCAACGAUGAAGAACGCAGCGAAAUGCGAUACGUAGUGUGAAUUGCAGAAUUCCGCGAAUCAUCGAGUCUUUGAACGCAA
rnacentral:rRNA from 1 species